rnacentral:tRNA from 1 species
GUAAAUUGCUAGUUUUUCAAUGCGUUCUUAGCUCAGUUGGUUAGAGCACCACCUUGACAUGGUGGGGGUCGAUG